rnacentral:rRNA from 1 species
UGGGGAAUUUUGGGCAAUGGGCGAAAGCCUGAUCCAGCAAUGCCGCGUGUGUGAAGAAGGCCUUCGGGUUGUAAAGCACUUUUGUCCGGAAAGAAAUCCUUGGCUCUAAUACAGUCGGGGGAUGACGGUACCGGAAGAAUAAGCACCGGCUAACUACGUGCCAGCAGCCGCGGUAAUACGUAGGGUGCAAGCGUUAAUCGGAAUUACUGGGCGUAAAGCGUGCGCAGGCGGUUUGCUAAGACCGAUGUGAAAUCCCCGGGCUCAACCUGGGAACUGCAUUGGUGACUGGCAGGCUAGAGUAUGGCAGAGGGGGGUAGAAUUCCACGUGUAGCAGUGAAAUGCGUAGAGAUGUGGAGGAAUACCGAUGGCGAAGGCAGCCCCCUGGGCCAAUACUGACGCUCAUGCACGAAAGCGUGGGGAGCAAACAGGAUUAGAUACCCUGGUGGUCCACGCCCUAAACGAUGUCAACUAGUUGUUGGGGAUUCAUUUCCUUAGUAACGUAGCUAACGCGUGAAGUUGACCGCCUGGGGGAGUACGGUCGCAAGAUUAAAACUUAAAUGAAUUGACGGGGUCAUAGCUGUUUCCU